rnacentral:lncRNA from 1 species
AUCUACCAUAGAGGUCUACCCUAGAGGCUCAGUAUGACUUGACCAUGCAUAAACCAAGUUUCAGCAGAGCCUAGUUACAUCUUGGGCUUCUGCAAACUGAGAUUGUCAAUGGCAUGUUCCUGAAGCUCACCCUUAAUUGGAUCCUGAAAAUAUUUAUUAUUGAUCAGAUGCUGUCAGGUUUUUUUUUUUUUUUUUUUUUUAAGGUCCCUAAUUGAUAAACCUUUGGUUGAUUGCUGUGGUUGAAGAAAAAUGUCUACCUUUCCUCAAGUACAAAGUUUGGAAUUACAUUUGGAAAAUGAUUGGAAAAUUGUUGUGAGCCUGAGGGUGUGGCAACACGAGAAAUCAAUAGAAAACAGAAUCUUUGAAGUUGACAGCAUCUCUGAUGAAAUCUUCAAGGAGUUCCGCAUGAGAGGCCUCUGAAGACUGAAGAUGCCAAUGAUGACAGAGAUGUUCAUGGAGAAACUGGGCAUUCAGAAAGGAACAAUGCAGGUUUUCCAAGCAAGGGAAAAGAUAUGAGCAGAGGUAUGAAUGGGAAAUAUAUAAUUGAUCUUUUGCAGUACAAUUACAUUUCGUUUUAUUGGUGUGGAAAUGUGUAAUUGUGAUUUGGGGAAGAGGGUUUGGGAUUGGGAUUAUAUUAAUGUGUAGGACGUUGAUUGCCAGGUCAAGGAAUUGAAAUAAAGGGAUGCCAUUGAAAGUUUUUAAAAAUAAU